CCCUCGGGGCCCAACCUCCCACCCGUGUUGCCCGAACCUAUGUUGCCUCGGCGGGCCCCGCGCCCGCCGACGGCCCCCCUGAACGCUGUCUGAAGUUGCAGUCUGAGACCUAUAACGAAAUUAGUUAAAACUUUCAACAACGGAUCUCUUGGUUCCGGCAUCGAUGAAGAACGCAGCGAAAUGCGAUAACUAAUGUGAAUUGCAGAAUUCAGUGAAUCAUCGAGUCUUUGAACGCACAUUGCGCCCUCUGGUAUUCCGGAGGGCAUGCCUGUCCGAGCGUCAUUGCUGCCCUCAAGCCCGGCUUGUGUGUUGGGCCCCGUCCCCCCCGCCGGGGGGACGGGCCCGAAAGGCAGCGGCGGCACCGCGUCCGGUCCUCGAGCGUAUGGGGCUUCGUCACCCGCUCUAGUAGGCCCGGCCGGCGCCAGCCGACCCCCAACCUUUAAUUAUCUCAGGUUGACCUCGGAUCAGGUAGGGAUACCCGC
rnacentral:rRNA from 2 species